rnacentral:rRNA from 1 species
CCUACGGGUGGCAGCAGUAGGGAAUCUUGGUCAAUGGGCGUAAGCCUGAACCAGCCACAUCGCGUGAGGGAUGAAGGGUCUCUGCAUCGUAAGCCUCGUUUAUGGAGAAGUAAGGUGGGGAGCGUAACCUAUUUUGCAGUUACCGUAUGAAUAAAGAUCGGCUCACUCAGUGCCAUGCGCCGCGGUAAUGCGGAGGAUCCGAGCGUUAUGCGGAUUUAUUGGGUUUAACGGGUGCGUAGGGGGCUUUUUAGGUCAGCGGUGAAAGCUUGGGGCUCAACCAAAGAAUUGCCGUGGAAACCGGGGGGCUUGAGUAUGUUUGAGGAAGGCGGAACGCGUGGUGUAGCGGUGAAAUGCGUAGAUAUAACGCAGAACCCCGAUUGCGAAGGCAGCUUGCUAAGCCAUGACUGACGCUGAUGCACGAAAGCGUGGGGAUCAAACAGGAUUAGAUACCCGAGUAGUC